rnacentral:lncRNA from 1 species
AUCCCUUUCGGAGCUCCAGCCUGCCCCUCCUGACGCUCUCAGAGUCUGGCCUUCUGCUGGGCCCCGGGUCUCUCACUGGCAGAAUGGAGUUCUCGGAGCUGAUCCAUACGGGCUGAGCCCAAGCAGAGUUUCUACGGGGCCCGGAGGCGCCCCCGCUUCGCGGCACGGUGUGAGUCACCGUCCACCACCUGCUCCUGUCGCCAGGGCCCGCGUCCUCUCCGGACCUGUGGCUGCUGCUGUUGCGUAGCGUCGACUCCUUCGAGAAGCAACCAACGCGUGGCGGCUGAGCGAGGUGAACGAGGACUUCAGCUUGUGCCCCAGAUACCCCCGUGCGGUGAUCGUGCCAUACUUGGUGGACGAUGAUGCCCUGGCGCGCAGCGCCCGCUUCCGUCAGGGAGGUCGCUUCCCGGUGCUCAGCUACCACCCGGCUCCCAGCGGCAGAGGGAGCGCGCCCUCCCCACGCUCCGCCCCUGGGUGGCUGCGUCCUUUCUGGGCCUUUUCUUUUUGGCCCGGUCAAUUCGCGGCGUAGCCGCUGCCCCAACUCCUGCCCCAUUCUGGUCCCGCCCCUCUCCCGCCUUUUCGCUGGGAAGGGUAUCACCUUUCUCUGGCCCCGCCCCUGACGGUUCCGGGCCCCGCGAAGCUUAGUCCCUUCUUUGUCAAGCCAGGACCCGCCCACGGUCUAUUCAUAGGGUCCCAAACCACUUUGGCCACAACACCCCCAGACUGGUCCGAAGCCUCGUGAGUUCGCCCUGGUCGUUGCACUCCAGCCUGUCGCUGUGCAGACCUGGCUUAGAGGACCCCUAAGGCUGAGGGGUCACUUCCAGAACUGAGUCCGGUCCGCAGGUUCUGCUACGCUCCAGCCAGCCCCUAACUGGUCCCCAGAAGCGGCGCUGCUACAGGGACCAGGAGCUGCUGCGAACUGCGCUGGCGGGGGCUCGUCCUUGGGCGCGGGGCUUCAUCAUGGACACGCUCUCGGCCCAGGCCGCGAAACAAGCCCGCGUGACUGGCGGAGGCACAGAGACCAAGGCCGCUUAACCUGGCUGGUUGCACUGGUCCCUGGAGAGCACUGAGCACAGGGGCUGCCACAGUGGCCGGCUCAGACAUGGCAGAGAUCAGCAGAGAAUGGGCAAUCAGGCUCCCCUGAGAUGAGCAGCAGCGCAGAGGAGGUGCCCCUCUCUUACUACACCAACUUCAGAGGGCGUCCCCUGCAGGAGAGCUUCAUGCGCCUGGUGGAGGCCUGUGGGGACUCGGAGCAAAGCAUGGACAACUGGCUGAGUCGGCUGGACGGCUGCCGCUGACUGUAACAUGUAAAGCAGGCACUGAGCACCACCUGCCUGGCAGUCCAGGGCAUGGAGAGGCACAGACAGCACCCUGCUUGUGACUUCACUGGCCCAACUCAUCCUGGACCCCUUGAGCAAGACCAUGGCUGGAUUCCAGGAACUGGUGGAGUGGAAGUGGAUCCAGGAAAAUGCCGUGUGAAGGGAGGACUCAGAUGCACUCCCUGUGGUCUGGGCUCAACCAGCCAAAAGAGCAACAAAGACUCCAGAACCCACUCUACCUCCUCAAUCCCUUGGCCAUCUGUGGAGCCCCAGAGCCUGCGGCUGUGGCAAGGCCUGUUUCUGCGCUGGACCUGCUCACCUGAGCCUGCAGAAGCUGCAUGGGGGAAGAGUGUGGCAAAUAGUGACAGGAAGGGAGAAGACAGAAGCCUCUCAGCCAACUGCUUCAGCCGAGCCCCUAUUCUAAGCACUGGCUCCUUGGAUAGCAGCUGAGAUGUUCCUGAAACCUCUGCAGGCCCCUUAGGACCUUUACACCUUGGAUGAGGGUGCCUGCAACCCAGGUUAGCCAAAAGUACUGAGGGUCUUAAGUUUGAAGUGUCCAAAGUAUAGGGAGGUCUCAAUAAUAAAAGUCUCCAUGAUCAGCA